rnacentral:misc_RNA from 1 species
GGGGGAGUAUGGUCGCAAGGCUG